UGGCCAAAAUUAUUAUGGCUUCCUCUUAUAGAAUAUAUUAUUUGGCAAAAUGCAAGUUCCUUGGGGACCAGGAAUUUUGAAACGUUCAUCAGGAUGUCCUCUGGGGCUCGUAGAAAGUUGUUUGCUCGGUGCUCCAGGGAAUGGGUAACCAGCAGAAGCAGCGAACAACCACAGCUGAAAAACAGGGCGUUUUCAGGAUACAGACUGGCUGGGAUCAGAAGCGGAACUGCUUAUCGAGAAGCCAUCUCUUCCCCAACUUGUGACUUUAAGGAUGAGUGGGCAUUUUUGCAAAGAAUCCACCCCAGCAGGGCUUGCCCCAAGUGGAGAGAAGCAGACUGCCUGGGGCACACCUGUUGCUGGAGCUCAUCUGACAUGUGGACACAGGAGCUUGCAGUGGUGUUCACAGGACCGAUGCACUGACUAUGGUCUCCGGGAAAUGCCAAUGGUGAAGUUAAGUAUAUCUUGAGAUUUAGUGUUCAUUUUAAAGAAAACACCCAAUGUACUGGCAUGAAGUGCAGAUUACUAACAGAAAAGAAGCAGCACAGUUCUGCUAUGUAUGUGUAAGGAAGGGAAGGGGUUAAUCCCAAAGGCAAUUUAAAUAAUGGUAUUUUAUUUUUUUAUAUAUAAACAAAUGUUCUGAGAAAUCUCAGACUUUAGUGCAUUGUUGUAAAAAAAUAGUAAAAUAUGUAAAAAUUCCUGGGGCUGGGUCACUCUGGGGCCCUGGGUCUGGGCUUCAGUUCCAGAAAAGCAGCCUGGCGAGACGGUCAAUUCUGCUGACAGGCACAGUAUUGUUUCCACUGUGUGGUAUGAGAAUGGGCUAUUGGAAUGGUGCUGACACGCUGAUAUUGACGUUCUCACUCACUUGGACACAGGAAGAGUUCAGGCUCCUGGGCUUCCUGUAAGCCACGGCCAACCCUUGAGUUUGAGCUGCAUGUGUGGUCUCCUGCAUCCUCGGUCGCCAUCAUGGUCCACCGAGGUGCUGCUCCUAGUCUACAACAAGCAGGUAUCAUUUACCCUGUGCCUUCCCCUUCCCCACUACCUACACUUCAUCCCUCUGCAGGCUCUGCACCACAUGUAAUACAGUCCUCAGGAGCGGCCCCACCUACGUCCUCCAGGGGCUUUCUAUGCCAUUGCUCUGCAACAUCAAAGGGCCUUCCAUUUACUUCCUCUCUUGCCUCCAGUUGACGUGAUGACUCUGUGCUCUCCCAGACUUAGCCACAUCAAAUGAGGGUCAGGGUCACUUGCAUGAAUAGAAUCACUGUUCUUGCUCUACCUACGGAUCCCUCCCCUAUCCUCCGCACUGGUGAUGGUGGGUAGAAACCAGGGGUGCAAUCAACAGUGAAAAAGAUCACAUUUUAGGAAUGUUGUGAUUAUAGCCUUGAGAGUUCCAGAGAAGAUAUAGUUGGAAAAUGUGUUGCUCUAUAUUUAGGCCAUAAAAUUCCAAAUGAUAAAUUUAACAUGCCCAUAAAAUAAAUUAUUGUCCAUGUUUUCCUGCACACUGUGUGCAUUUGUGGUCAUCUUCAAAG
rnacentral:lncRNA from 1 species